UACGAAGGGGGGCUAGCGUUGCUCGGAAUUACUGGGCGUAAAGCGCACGUAGGCGGCUUGUUAAGUCGGGGGUGAAAUCCUGGAGCUCAACUCCAGAACUGCCUUCGAUACUGGCGAGCUCGAGUUCGGGAGAGGUGAGUGGAACUGCGAGUGUAGAGGUGAAAUUCGUAGAUAUUCGCAAGAACACCAGUGGCGAAGGCGGCUCACUGGCCCGGUACUGACGCUGAGGUGCGAAAGCGUGGGGAGCAAACAGG
rnacentral:rRNA from 1 species